rnacentral:sRNA from 1 species
ACAGUCAGGAAAGGGCGCUGAGAGGUGAGCGUGAGCCCAGCGACAGGAGAGUGAGCUCACCAUGUGCAGCGCCAUGACCAGCAAGGGUCCCGAGGAGGAGCACCCAUCGGUGACGCUCUUCCGCCAGUACCUGCGCAUCCGCACCGUCCAGCCCAAGCCUGACUACGGAGCUGCUGUGGCUUUCUUUGAGGAGAGAGCCCGCCAGCUGGGCCUGGGCUGUCAGAAAGUGGAGGUGGCACCUGGCUAUGUGGUGACCGUGUUGACCUGGCCAGGCACCAACCCUACACUCUCCUCCAUCUUGCUCAACUCCCACACGGAUGUGGUGCCUGUCUUCAAGGAACAUUGGAGUCACGACCCCUUUGAGGCCUUCAAGGAUUCUGAGGGCUACAUCUAUGCCAGGGGUGCCCAGGACAUGAAGUGCAUCAGCAUCCAGUACCUGGAAGCUGUGAGGAGGCUGAAGGUGGAGGGCCACCGGUUCCCCAGAACCAUCCACAUGACCUUUGUACCUGAUGAGGAGGUUGGUGGUCACCAAGGCAUGGAGCUGUUCGUGCAGCGGCCUGAGUUCCAUGCCCUGAGGGCAGGCUUUGCCCUGGAUGAGGGCAUAGCCAAUCCCACUGAUGCCUUCACUGUCUUUUAUAGUGAGCGGAGUCCCUGGUGGGUGCGGGUCACCAGCACUGGGAGGCCAGGCCAUGCCUCACGCUUCAUGGAGGACACAGCAGCAGAGAAGCUGCACAAGGUUGUGAGCUCCAUCCUGGCAUUCCGGGAGAAGGAAUGGCAGAGGCUGCAGUCAAACCCCCACCUGAAAGAGGGGUCCGUGACCUCCGUGAACCUGACUAAGCUAGAGGGUGGCGUGGCCUAUAACGUGAUACCUGCCACCAUGAGCGCCAGCUUUGACUUCCGUGUGGCACCGGAUAUGGACUUCAAGGCUUUUGAGGAGCAGCUGCAGAGCUGGUGCCAGGCAGCUGGCGAGGGGGUCACCUUAGAGUUUGCUCAGGUAUGGACUUGGGACAUGUGAUGGGAGAGUGUGGGAGCUGGGAGAGACCCAAGUGUGCAACAGUGGAGUGUGUGCUUGGUAUGUCUGCAUAUGUCUGGGCAUUUCUUUAUCUGUGAGAGACACAUUUUAUUCCAACAAGCAUUCGUUGUAGAGGCCACUGUGGGUGCUGGGGAAUGCUGUGGGGUGUAAAAUUAGGCACAGUUCAUGCCCUUGUAUGGUGAAACGGGGAGAUAUAAAUCAAACAUUUAUGUGAUAUUACUUUUUUCUGAGAGAAUCUCACUCCGUCACCCAGGCUGCAGUGCAGUGGCACAAUCUCGGCUCACCUCCGCCUCCCGGGUUCAAGCAAUUCUUGUGCCUCAGCCUCCAGAAUAGUUGGGAUUACAGGCACCUGCCACCAUGCCCAGCUAAUUUUUGCAUUUUUAGUAGAGACAGGGUUUCACCAUGUUGGCCAGGCUUGUCUCAAACUCCUGGCCUCAAGUGAUCCACCCGCCUUGGCCUUGCAAAGUGCUGGGAUUACAGGCAUGAGCCACUGCGCCCAGCCGUACUUUCAUAUAACACAUGUGGUACAAGAAAGGGUGGCCCCUUGCACUCUGAAAACCUGUAACU